rnacentral:rRNA from 1 species
UACGGGGGGGGCAAGCGUUGUUCGGAAUUACUGGGCGUAAAGGGCUCGUAGGUGGCCAACUAAGUCGGACGUGAAAUCCCUCGGCUUAACCGGGGAACUGCGUCCGAUACUGGUUGGCUUGAGUUUGGGAGAGGGGUGCGGAAUUCCAGGUGUAGCGGUGAAAUGCGUAGAUAUCUGGAGGAACACCGGUGGCGAAGGCGACAUCCUGGACCGGCAUUGACGCUGAGGCGCGAAAGCCAGGGGAGCAAACGGG